rnacentral:rRNA from 1 species
UACAGAGGGUGCGAGCGUUGUUCGGAAUUAUUGGGCGUAAAGCGCUUGUAGGCGGCUUGUUAAGUUCCGUGUGAAAUCCCCAGGCUUAACCCUGGGAAGUGCGCGGAAAAACUGGCGAGCUUGAGUGCCGGAGAGGGUCGCGGAAUUCCGGUGUAGAGGUGAAAUUCGUAGAUAUUAGGAAGAACACCAGUGGCGAAGGGCGGACC